AGAGUUUGAUCCUGGCUCAGGAUGAACGCUAGCGGCAGGCUUAACACAUGCAAGUCGAGGGGUAACAGGGAUUGCUUGCAAUCCGCUGACGACCGGCGCACGGGUGCGUAACGCGUAUGCAACCUACCUUCUACAAGAGGAUAGCCCAGAGAAAUUUGGAUUAAUACUCUAUACGAUCAUUAAUUGGCAUCAGUUGAUGAAGAAAACUCCGGUGGUAGAAGAUGGGCAUGCGUCCUAUUAGUUAGUUGGUAAGGUAAUGGCUUACCAAGACUUCGAUAGGUAGGGGUCCUGAGAGGGAGAUCCCCCACACUGGUACUGAGACACGGACCAGACUCCUACGGGAGGCAGCAGUGAGGAAUAUUGGACAAUGGAGGCAACUCUGAUCCAGCCAUGCCGCGUGCAGGAAGACGGCCCUACGGGUUGUAAACUGCUUUUAUACAGGAAGAAUUGUGCCUACGUGUAGGUAUUUGACGGUACUGUACGAAUAAGGAUCGGCUAACUCCGUGCCAGCAGCCGCGGUAAUACGGAGGAUCCAAGCGUUAUCCGGAAUCAUUGGGUUUAAAGGGUCCGUAGGCGGUCUGGUAAGUCAGAGGUGAAAUCCUGCAGCUCAACUGUAGCAUUGCCUUUGAUACUGCCAGACUUGAGUUAUUGUGAAGUAGUUAGAAUGUGUAGUGUAGCGGUGAAAUGCAUAGAUAUUACACAGAAUACCGAUUGCGAAAGCAGAUUACUAACAAUAUACUGACGCUGAGGGACGAAAGCGUGGGUAGCGAACAGGAUUAGAUACCCUGGUAGUCCACGCCGUAAACGAUGGAUACUA
rnacentral:rRNA from 1 species